UGGGGGAUAUUGCACAAUGGGCGAAAGCCUGAUGCAGCGACGCCGCGUGGGGGAUGAAGGCCUUCGGGUUGUAAACUUCUUUUGCUCUGAACAAGGCAUGCCUUUGGUGUGUGUUGAGUGUAGGGGUUGAUUAGCGCCGGCUAACUACGUGCCAGCAGCCGCGGUAAUACGUAGGGCGCGAGCGUUGUCCGGAAUUAUUGGGCGGAAAGGGCUUGUAGGUGGCUGGUUGCGUCUGUCGUGAAAGCUCAUGGCUUAACUGUGGGUUUGCGGUGGGUACGGGCUGGCUUGAGUACAGUAGGGGAGGCUGGAAUUCCUGGUGUAGCGGUGGAAUGCGCAGAUAUCAGGAGGAAUACCGGUGGCGAAGGCGGGUCUCUGGGCUGUUACUGACGCUGAGGAGCGAAAGCGUGGGGAGCGAACAGG
rnacentral:rRNA from 1 species